rnacentral:rRNA from 1 species
UGGGGAAUUUUGGACAAUGGGCGAAAGCCUGAUCCAGCAAUGCCGCGUGUGUGAAGAAGGCCUUCGGGUUGUAAAGCACUUUUGUCCGGAAAGAAAUCCUUGGCUCUAAUACAGUCGGGGGAUGACGGUACCGGAAGAAUAAGCACCGGCUAACUACGUGCCAGCAGCCGCGGUAAUACGUAGGGUGCAAGCGUUAAUCGGAAUUACUGGGCGUAAAGCGUGCGCAGGCGGUUUGCUAAGACCGAUGUGAAAUCCCCGGGCUCAACCUGGGAACUGCAUUGGUGACUGGCAGGCUAGAGUAUGGCAGAGGGGGGUAGAAUUCCACGUGUAGCAGUGAAAUGCGUAGAGAUGUGGAGGAAUACCGAUGGCGAAGGCAGCCCCCUGGGCCAAUACUGACGCUCAUGCACGAAAGCGUGGGGAGCAAACAGGAUUAGAUACCCUGGUAGUCCACGCCCUAAACGAUGUCAACUAGUUGUUGGGGAUUCAUUUCCUUAGUAACGUAGCUAACGCGUGAAGUUGACCGCCUGGGGGAGUACGUCG